rnacentral:rRNA from 1 species
AGUGAACGCUGGCGGUAGGCCUAACACAUGCAAGUCGAACGGCAGCACAGUAAGAGCUUGCUCUUACGGGUGGCGAGUGGCGGACGGGUGAGGAAUACAUCGGAAUCUACUUUUUCGUGGGGGAUAACGUAGGGAAACUUACGCUAAUACCGCAUACGACCUACGGGUGAAAGCAGGGGAUCUUCGGACCUUGCGCGAUUGAAUGAGCCGAUGUCGGAUUAGCUAGUUGGCGGGGUAAAGGCCCACCAAGGCGACGAUCCGUAGCUGGUCUGAGCGGAUGGACAGCCACACGGGAACUGAGACACGGUCCAGACUCCUACGGGAGGCAGCAGUGGGGAAUAUUGGACGAUGGGCGCAAGCCUGAUCCAGCCAUACCGCGUGGGUGAAGAAGGCCUUCGGGUUGUAAAGCCCUUUUGUUGGGAAAGAAAAGCAGCAGGUUAAUACCCCGCUGUUCUGACGGUACCCAAAGAAUAAGCACCGGCUAACUUCGUG